rnacentral:rRNA from 1 species
GAUGAACGCUAGCUGCAGGCUUAACACAUGCAAGUCGAGGGGCAGCAUGGGAUUAGCUUGCUAAUCCUGAUGGCGACCGGCGCACGGGUGCGUAACGCGUAUCCAACCUGCCCUCUACUCCGGAACAGCCCGUCGAAAGGCGGAUUCAUGCCGGAUGGUGUCACAUGCCCGACUGAGUGUGUGACUAAAGGCAACGGUCGAGGAUGGGGAUGCGACUGAUUAGCUUGUUGGCGGGGUAACGGCCCACCAAGGCAACGAUCAGUAGGGGUUCUGAGAGGAAGGUCCCCCACAUUGGAACUGAGACACGGUCCAAACGCCUACGGGAGGCAGCAGUGAGGAAUAUUGGUCAAUGGGCGAGAGCCUGAACCAGCCAAGCAGCGUGCGGGAAGACGGCCCUAUGGGUUGUAAACCGCUUUUGAUUGGGAACAAAGAGCGCCACGUGUGGUGCGUUGCGUGUACCUUUCGAAUAAGCAUCGGCUAAUUCCGUGCCAGCCGCCGCGGUAAAAC